rnacentral:rRNA from 1 species
UGAGGAAUAUUGGUCAAUGGGCGGGAGCCUGAACCAGCCAAGUCGCGUGAGGGAAGACGGUCCUAUGGAUUGUAAACCUCUUUUGUCGGGGAGCAAAGAGGCCACGUGUGGUCAAAAGCGAGAGUACCCGAAGAAAAAGCAUCGGCUAACU